rnacentral:tRNA from 1 species
CGGGGUGUGGCGCAGUUGGUUAGCGCACCUGCUUUGGGAGCAGGGGGUCGUCCGUUCGAGUCGGACUACCCCGA